UCCGACGGUGAGAGACGAAGGCUGGGGGCGCAAACCGGAUUAGAUACCCGGGUAGUCCCAGCAGUAAACGAUGCCAGCUAUGUGUUGCUGGAACCAUGGGUUCCAGCAGUGCCGAAGGGAAGCCGUGAAGCUGGCCACCUGGGAAGUACGGUCGCAAGGCUGAAACUUAAAGGAAUUGGCGGGGGAGUACCACAACCGGUGGAGCCUGCGGUUUAAUUGGAUACAACGCCGGGAAUCUUACCGGAGGGGACAGCAGUAUGAAGGCCAGGCUAAAGACCUUGCCAGAUCAGCUGAGAGGAGGUGCAUGGCCGUCGCCAGUUCGUACCGUGAGGCAUCCUGUUUAGUCAGGCAACGAUCGAGACCCGCAGUCUUAUUUGCCAGCAUGCCCUUUGGGGUGUAUGGGUACAAUAAGACGACCGCCAGCGCUAAGCUGGAGGAAGGAGCGGGCUACGGUAGGUCAGCAUGCCCCGAAUCCUCCGGGAUACACGCGGGCUACAAUGGUCAGGACAAAAGGUACCGACCUCGAAAGAGUGAGGUAAUCCACAAACCUGAUCUCAGU
rnacentral:rRNA from 1 species